rnacentral:rRNA from 1 species
UCGGGAAUAUUGCGCAAUGGAGGAAACUCUGACGCAGUGACGCCGCGUAUAGGAAGAAGGUUUUCGGAUUGUAAACUAUUGUCGUUAGGGAAGAGAAAGGACAGUACCUAAGGAGGAAGCUCCGGCUAACUACGUGCCAGCAGCCGCGGUAAUACGUAGGGAGCGAGCGUUAUCCGGAAUUAUUGGGUGUAAAGGGUGCGUAGACGGGAGAGCAAGUUAGUUGUGAAAUCCCUCGGCUUAACUGAGGAACUGCAACUAAACUACUUUUCUUGAGUGCAGGAGAGGUAAGUGGAAUUCCUAGUGUAGCGGUGAAAUGCGUAGAUAUUAGGAGGAACACCAGUGGCGAAGGCGACUUACUGGACUGUAACUGACGUUGAGGCACGAAAGUGUGGGGAGCAACAGGAUUAGAUACC